rnacentral:rRNA from 1 species
GACGAACGCUGGCGGCGUGCUUAACACAUGCAAGUCGAACGGAAAGGCCUUUUCGGCGGUACUCGAGUGGCGAACGGGUGAGUAACACGGGGGUGAACUGCCCUGCACACUGGGAUAAGCCUGGGAAACUGGGUCUAAUACCGGUUAGGACCGCACUGUAGUGCGUGUGGUGGAAAGUGUUUUCGGUGUAGGAUGAGCCGGCGGCCUAUCAGCUUGUUGGUGGGGUAAUGGCCUACCAAGGCGGCGGCGGGCAGCCGGACUGAGGGGUUGGUCGGCCACAUUGGGACUGAGGGGCGGCCCAGACGCCGACGGGAGGCAGCUGGGGGGAAGAUUGAACAAGGGGCGCAAGGCUGGUGCAGCGGCGCCGCGGGGGGGAUGACGGCCUUGGGGUUGUAAACUCCUUUCGCCAGGAACGAAGCGUUUUGUGACGGUACCUGGAGAAGAAGCACCGGCUAACUACGUG